rnacentral:rRNA from 1 species
UGGAGCAUGUGGUUUAAUUCGAAGCAACGCGCAGAACCUUACCAGCCUUUGACAUCCUAGGACGACUUCUGGAGACAGAUUUUCUUCCCCUUCGGGGACCUAGUGACAGGUGCUGCAUGGCUGUCGUCAGCUCGUGUCGUGAGAUGUUGGGUUAAGUCCCGCAACGAGCGCAACCCUCGUCCUUAGUUGCCAUCAUUAAGUUGGGCACUUUAAGGAAACUGCCGGUGAUAAGCCGGAGGAAGGUGGGGAUGACGUCAAGUCCUCAUGGCCCUUACAGGCUGGGCUACACACGUGCUACAAUGGCAUCUACAGUGGGCAGCUAUCCCGCAAGGGUGCGCUAAUCUCCAAAAGAUGUCUCAGUUCGGAUUGUCCUCUGCAACUCGAGGGCAUGAAGGCGGAAUCGCUAGUAAUCGCGGAUCAGCAUGCCGCGGUGAAUACGUUCCCAGGCCUU